CAAAUGGAUACCUAUUGACAUAGAUACCUUUGCAUUCCUGAAUUACCUUUUUUUAUACUGAAGAAUGGAAGACUCAAUCUCUAAGCCAAAAUUUUAAAAAAACGAUUGGGCUUUUUAUUAUUCAUAAAAUUGCAAAACCUUGGCAUGGAUGAUUGUAGCCGAGCUUCAAGAUUUUAUAUAUUCUUCUAGUGUAUAAUGCUGUAGAACAGUCAAGUUAAUAUGAAAAUUGUUCAUCCAGGAUUUUUUUUGUUAAUGUUUUGUCUAUUUUUUUUUAAAGUUAAGUUUUACUGUAUUUUUUGUGUCUGAGUGUCAAUAGAACUUUUUCCCAUCUGAACGUAAUGAUGUUAGAAACAUGCUGUACUUGGAGCAAUAUGUUUCAUCACACUUGAGCUUGACUCAGCAAACUGCUACUAUAUUUGGAGGAAUAAAACCAUUUCAUGCAUUACUGAAGUGAAGAAAAGCUUCCACCCUUUCUCUUUCUUUUCUUGGAGAAAAAGAAUGAUUCCAAGGAACCCAGGAAUAUGAAGCAUUAGGAAGACAGGCAUCCAUCCUACUUCUAUAAUGUACAUUCAGAUGCCUUCUACAGUUUACCUUGACUUCUCCCAUUCUUUAAAACCACACACGGCUGAAUUCUGAACCAUUGAAUUCAGUGUCAAAACUUCUACACCACAAACUGAGCCAGGAGCAUGACUGGAUUUGUGGUGUUACUAUAGUGUUAUAAUACUAUAAACAUGAAGCAGAUUCAUUGGUUUGUCCAUCUAUCACCGCUCUCUUUAUACAUAGAUGCACAGGGGAUUCUAGUCACACCUACCACAGUGAAAAUGGGUAGCUCAUUUCUUUUAAAUAAUUUUAAUGGAAAUUAAAGGGCAAUACUUAAAACCUCAAAGCAAACUUGAGUGGUUGCCUUGGGAUUACCCUGGCAGACAGCCAGAAUAGCCUGCACUAUGCCUCUGCCUCCCAGCCUUGUCCCUGGUGUAGUGGAUGUGGCCAGUGACAAGAAGCAGCCCAGAUUGCAGCAAUUCCUGAAUGUUGGAAUGGCCCCCUCAGGGGUCAUCACAUCCCUGAUGCGUCCUGAUGCUCUUUGUUUCCACAAGCUGCUCAGGUGUCAAAUGGCCAGUCCUGAGGAUCCGGCCCUCAGUGUGUAUACACUUCACAUCAAGGAGACAAUGAAGCCCAAGUUGUAUUAUUCCAAACGAAAUCCCAAAUCAGAGAAUAAAAUUAGAAAGCACUGGAUUAGAAACUGCCAAGGACUGAACUGCAAGAGAUCGUAUUAUUGUAUUUAUUUCACGUUUAUUACAGUCUGUGUCAGUUUCCUCUAAAGUUGAUUUAUUUUGUGAAAACUCUUUUUUGUUACUGAGUUUACCAACCUCUUUCACAAACCAUUGGCAGAAUGCAGGGGAGAUCCACUCUCUUGCGUGGAAACCACAAUCCAUAAAGAUGGCUUUUUUGUUUGAACCACUU